UUAAACACAAUGAAUAGGGAAAGUAAAUUAUAUGGAGUAUACAGAGAGGAAUUCCAAGGCUGAGAGAAUUCUAUACAGAAAUAUAGUUGAAGUGCCCCUAGGAGUGUUAGGCCGAAAUUCAGUAGGCUGUUACGGGUUCUCCCGUUAUAGAGAUAGGGCAUGAUAGUGCCUGAAUAUGAGAUGAGCAUUUUAUGCUUAAACAGAGUGGAACCGCGGAAGUUAACCUUCUGCCUCUGAG
rnacentral:ncRNA from 1 species